rnacentral:rRNA from 1 species
GAAGGUUGCUAGCGUUGUUCGGAAUCACUGGGCUUAAAGCGCAUGUAGGCGGCCCAUCAAGUGCCUUGUGAAAUCCCACGGCUCAACCGUGGAAUUGCUUGGCAUACUGUUAGGGCUUGAGGCAGGUAGGGGCGCGUGGAACUCUUGGUGGAGCGGUGGAAUGCGUAGAUAUCAAGAGGAACGCCGGUGGCGAAAGCGGCGCGCUGGGCCUGUCCUGACGCUGAGAUGCGAAAGCCAGGGGAGCAAACGGGAUUAGAUACCCCGGUAGUCCUGGCCCUAAACGAUGUCUACUAGGUCGGAGUCACUCUGACGUGUUUCUGGCCGAAACAAAAGCGUUAAGUAGACCGCCUGGGGAGUACGGUCGCAAGGCUA